UUGCGUAGCUGUAAUAUCGGAUAUGAAUGGAUUAGGUAUAGAUACUUCAUAUUUUGAAGGUUAUCUAUAGAAUGACUGUAGUUAAAAAAAAAAAACUAUUUUGAAAAUGAAUAAAUUUAUUCAUUUAAGUCGCCAUUAAAAUUUGAAAAUCUGUCAAAUCACAUACGAACUUUUAAAUUUCCAUUCUAAAUGGCGACUUUAAAUUUAAUGAAGAGUGACUGAAUUGGGUCUAAAUUAAUAUUUUUUUUAAUUAAAAAAAAAAACAGUAUUUUAAUGACGAUUUUCAGUUUAAUAGAAAUUCAAAUAAUUUGCCCUAAAUAAAUCAAUUUAAGCAACUAAAAAAAUUCUAUCAUCUCCCAUGGAAUUGGCACCAAAUUGACUUUAGAAGAAAUGUUUAACAUACCUUUUAAAGAAAAAAUUAAUGCUGUUGAGUACGCACAUAUGGGUUAUCCACUUCAUAUACAUUCCUAUCUUUUAUAUCGCGCGGGUCACUCGGAACUAUUUCAUGACAACGUAUAGUCUUACUUAUUAUAGGGAAUGGAUCGAAGCUACAAAUAUUUUUUAUUGAUAUGAUGACGUAGAAUAUUGGAAAAAAAAAGACACAAUACACAGAAGUACACAAUGUUCGGAGAUCGGACUUUUAAUUUAAUUUAUCAUAAACUUGUAUAUUUAGAGGUACAUGAAUAAAAUACCUACUCCAUCAAACUUUCAA